CCUCCUCUUCCUGCCAAACACCGCGCCCUCCUCUCCACCAGGCUCCCACGCCCACCACACAGCCUGGAGCCCUGGCGGAGCUAUAGACUCUGACUCCGCCUCUUCCCAAAUUCAGAGUAGUUGGUGCCACAGUAGUCCUCGGAACCCUGUGGCCCCUUCAUCACCCGUUUCAGGGCCCCUUGAUUCCCACCCCCACCUUCUUAGUCCCCCUGCCCUAUCUGCUUUCCAUCUUCUUGGAAUUCGCCUUGCCGCCGCCCCGCGCCCACACCGCUCCCCCACCCCGCCCCACGCCCAGUCCCUUGCCCUUAUGGAUUUAUUCUUUACACCUAAAUAUGUCUUUCCUCUUUUUGAAAGGAUUUGGAGUUGGAACAGAGAAAUUCACUAUGGAUGAUGCUAUAUCUUUAUAUGACCUUUGGAAUAUCUGUAAUCAUCCUGAGGGCAAAACUUACGUAAUGAAGAUGGAAGAAGAGAGAAUAGGAAUACUCUGUGCGCUUUGAUCUUAUCGUUUUGCUGCUGAUCAUACCAUCCCUGGAGUCCUACUUCUGACUCCAAGUUAUGAGGUAACAAGUUUCUUUAUAGUUAAAGCAAUUUGAAUCUGGGUUUUCUGUUACUUACAGUUGAAGGCAUCUUAAAUGGCUUAGCGUUCCCAGACUUAAAUUAUAUAGUAUCCCUAGACAAUACCGUUAUACUUUUAAGUUAUAUGAAACAAUACGUUCUCAGGCACUCAUUCAUCCAACCAGCUCCCAUAUCAGGAAAUGGGACAUUACUUCCAGACUUAAAAAAUCCAGUAUUCAGUUGCAAAUAAGGAAUAAGGAGCUAUCUAAAAAACAAGCAUGAGGUAAAAAGGCAUCAUUCUCAUUUGCACUACACGAAAAAAUAUACCAGGAUUAGCAAAUAACUCCCUAAAUAAACGCUAUCAACAAAGUGAUGAGCCUCUUAUAUUUCCCUCAAAGGAAGAGGUAGGCUUCCGGACUCCAGUCUGUCCACCUCACAUGUAUUAUUUUCCAUAUACUUUAGAUUUCUCUGUCUUAAAGAGGUGAUCCUGAUAUUCAAUCUUGUGAGAGUAAAAAAUAGCAUUCUAAUCACUUAUUUUUAAAUUUCAUGCAUUAACAUUAGUUAAGACUAUCUUUCAAAAUUACCAAAAAUUAAUAUGGUUUACUGCGAUCUUUUUAACAAUGAAAAGAUCUAUGAUGAAUGAAAUAGACCUUUCUCUAUCUCAUUUCCUUUUUCUCCUUGCCACCUCUCAGGACAUCCCAGUGUUCUCACGUUCCAUCUUCAGUCACACUUCACCAGUGUUAAAUCCCUGGUAUAUGUUCUUCCAAACCAUUUUGUAUGAUACUACAACAAUAUAUAAAUAUAAACGUAAACAUCGGAAUUUGGAAGUCCUUCUCACUUUUUAACAUAAGUGGGAUCAUACUCUUUACGUUUGUGUGCAACGACACAUCUAUAUAUAUUUCUAAAACAUCUUCUUUAUAAUUGUAUACUAUUUCAAGUGAUACAUAAACACAAUGUAUUCAACAGUUCUGGUAUUGAUAGACAUUCAAGAUUUUCCCCCAGCUAUUUUUGCUGUUUCAAACAAUGCUGCGAUAACAGGUGAAUGCAAUCCAAUUGUGACAUUUCUCAUUCCAUCUAUUUUGAGGGUUGAUGGUGCCUAUUUUGCUGAUGAGGUAGGUAUCUUUGUCUUCUCUCAAUGUUGCCACAUUCUUCCUUCUUAAUGUUACCUGUCCUGAUAUAAAAGAACCUUUCCAGAUAAAGAAGACUAUCUUUUAUUUAAGAAUAUAUGUGUGCUUUGUCUGGCCUUCCCCCAGUAUUUAUAAAUUUUUAGCAACCUUCCAAGAAGUUAUUGAAUCAAAAAGAAAAUAAGAAAAAAUUAACAACAGAGAACUUGAGAAAUGAUAGCAAUGAGGACACAACAUAUUAAAAUGUGCCCGUUACAGCCAGCACUCUAUUCAAAGAUAAAUUUAUAGUAACGACUAUUUCCCUUAAAAAUUAGCCAGAAAUUAUCAUUAUAGAUAGCCAUGGAAACUUAAAGGAAGUAACUAAAAUAUGCAGAGACUGAUGAAGUGAAAAAAUGGAAAAUUAGUAGAAUAUAUAGCAAAACCUAUGUCUAAGUUUUGUGAAAAAAUAAAACGAUAGGAAAGAAAACUGGCAAUACAGAAAAAAGGACCAAUAAAUGCAAAGGGGAUUUAUAAUAGGUUAUUUGAAAAUAUAAAAUUGUCAUGCAAUAAUUCACUUGCUCCACAAUGUUUAUAGAGUGUCUCCUAUGUUCCAGACCCUUUCAUAGGCACUGCAUUACUAGAAUGAAUUAGAUAGACAAGAUUCCUGCAUUCAAAGUUUUUAUUCUAGUGGAGUAAGACAGAAAAUAAACAAUCUAAAAGACAAGUUCACAUAGUGAUAAGUACUACAGAGCAAGAAACACAAGGUUAUGGGGUAGAAGGAGAGAAUCUCUGAACAGGUGAUAUUUGAGUCAAGACCUGAAUAUGAGAAGCAACCACUUAUGAAAAGUUAUGAAAAUCUCUGGGGGUAAGAAAUAGCUCUAGCAUGAAGACUUUGAAGUGGAAACAAGCUUGUUACCUUUGAGAAUAGAAAAAUGUUAGUAUGGCUGUAAUAUGUAGUGAAAAGGAGACCAUAUUUGAAUCACAAAAGAGUGAGAUCAUCUAGAGCACUGCUUCUUCAUUCUUAUUUCAUUAUUAUCCCCUCCCCACUAGAUGGCUUUAUAAGGAUUUUCUUCUUUUUCCUAAUUGUCUACUCAUGAAAUUUGAAUACCAAUGAUGUACUGUAUAAUCUAGUCAAUGAGUGCAUGUAUAUCUGUAUUUUAUACAUAAUCAACCUGUAUGCAGGAUUAAGUAUGAAUAAAAUUUGAAGGUAGUAGUUAAAUUAAAAAUUAAAAAGCUAGCAAUAUCUAACUUAACUGUGUAAGUGUAUUUGCUAAGUGACUUUUAAUGGAAUGUAUUUACUUACAUAAAUUAUAAUGUGUCAAAGUAUGUAUGCAAAUUGGCAGUUUAUAUAAAUAUAUAAUAGUGAUGUAAUCACAUUUAAAAAAUUAUUCACGACAUUUUUCUAGAAAAGGUGAAACAAUGGAAAACAUUAAAUUAAUUUCUUCAAAGUUA